ACGUAUAUCCACCGGUGAGUGCGACGCUGAUACUGAGUGUUAUCAGCAGGUGAGUACCUAACAAUCGUAAACACGACGGAGCUAUAUAUGAAGAUUGAUAACGACAAAGAGCAAGUGGUAGUUAUUAUUCCGGAUUAUUAAAGUGAACUUCAUAGUUAAACCCAAAUUAGUUAGUAUACUAUUGAUUAGUAAGCUGUAGAACAGCCUUCGCAGAAGAGAGAUACCUAAAGUAGGCUGUCUGUGAAUUCGCGCCAACAGUUAGCAAAACGGUUCACCAUAACUAGGCAAGUUCAGCUCGAUCUAGAACAGUAGAUAGGUGAAACUAGUUAUCUGGUACACGCUCUGAAUAGGGACCUGAACCCUGAUAGAGACAAGGCUUGAAACGAAACUGGUGAAACGAAAGAAGAAACUAAAC